CUUAUACUCCCUCCGUCCGAAAAUAGUUGUCAUCAAAAUGGAUGAAAAGGGAUGUAUCUAGAACUAAAAUACGUCUAGAUACAUCUCCUUUAAUCCAUUUUGAUGACAAGUAUUUCCGGACGGAGGGAGUUUUUA
rfam:Triticum urartu cultivar G1812 contig819874, whole genome shotgun sequence.